rnacentral:other from 1 species
AAUUCCCUGCGCUGUUGGUGAUUAUCGAAAUAUUGAGCCAAACACUCUUUAAAAGGGUAUUCAUAACCAUAGACGGAUGGAAAUCUUAGCGGAUUACCAGAAGACUAUGGAUGGAUUGCCCACCUAAUUUUUAUUAGGUUUAAUUAUUUCGAUGACACGGCAGUGUGGGGAUCUU